CCCCACGUUAGAGCGAGGGUUGGAAUAACAAGGGCUGUUUCGUUUUCUGGAACCCGAGUAAAACUCAGAAGAAAAACAGACUUAGAUUACACAUUGCUACUAUGAGUCCUUUUUUAUUAGAUCAGCUAAUAUUUUAAACAGCAGAUAAGCAGGCAGAAUUGGGGGGCUCUAAUCAAAAUCUGUGUCACCUUUAGGAACCUUGAAACAGCUAAAAUCGAUUUCUGCAGUGUAAUCAUUGUUCCAGAGCCAUGUUUCUGCAUUUGGUUCCUUAAGCCUGUCUACAGCCUUAGAGUUCAGGGCAGCAGUUUCUGGGACGUGAGGUUGCAGCCACUCUUCAUCUGUCGGCCUCUGAAAGAGGAGGGUUGGGGCUUAAGUCUCUAAAGGAUGUUAAGUUAGGGAAAGGGACUCCUUUCCAGGCAGCCCUCACAAGCUCCAAGAGCGUGGGAGCGAAGGCCUCCUUCUGGGCUUGAUUUCUGACCCUCGGUCUUGGUUUAAUACCCACAGUGGAGGAUUCUCUUUGCAUGUCAUUCAGAAAUACCAGGUUUCCUGAAACAUAUAUUAAGAACUUCAGGCAUCCAAGCAGAAUUAUAUUAUGGACACCAUACAGUGAAUUCAGGUCACAUGACAGCAAGUGGACUGAAUGCAGGCCCAUCUUCUCCCGUUCUGCCCGGUGUGGUCGGUGUUUGCACCAAGAGUGCACGAAAAAUAGUUACCUCCUUUGGACAUUGAAGAAAUGGGCCUCUGUUGUAAAGGGGGCUGCAAUGGCGAUUGUGAUGCCUUUCAAACUAGCAUAAAAGGAUCAACCUGUAUUCUUGGAACUGAUACACUUUUAAACCAAUGUCAAGACCAAAGAGAACAUAUAAUAACUGGUGGGGUGUGGUGUGGUGUGAGCAGGCCCGUGGGAUCACCAGCACUCCUGUGUUGGUUGUAAAGCACACCCAGGUUGCUCGUGUUUUCUCUAAACACUUGCCACCAAAGUUUUACCAGUCACCAAACUCAGGACAGACUAGCUGUCAUGGGGAGCACCACACCCACAUGGGUCUGCAGACACUCAGCCAAUGUGACCCGCUUAAAAGGAAGGUCCAUCAUGUGUGCUUUGGAGUUCCAUUUAUUUGAAGCACUCUAAAAUGAAAAGUUGAAUUUUAUGUCUCUCCUUUUUUCCUAUUUUCAAAGUUCCAGUGGUAAUGUAAAUUUGAAUCACAAGCUGUAAAUUUGAGUCAGUAUUUUAGAGAGUACUGUUGGAGAAAUGAUCAUUUUCAGAUUCUACUUUGUCAUGAACUCCCUAUGUCAGGUCCCUUCUCUGAGCCUCAUUGUCCCCGUCAGCCAAAAGAGGACAGACCUCCCUUGCCCCCUUCCUAGGAUUUCUUAUUGUGAGAAUCAGAUGUGAUCAUGUGUGCAAGCGUCCCUUGAGAAGGGUGCACAAAGCACUGUGAAAAUGUAAAAUAUUAUCUGUAUGAUUAUGCUGGGAUGGACGAUCUGAAAUGCUGUGACCCACCGGUGAAUGAGUUCACAUGGAAGUACCCAGAGCAAAACUAAAGGCCUCAUGUGACUCUUCCUCUCUCCUGUUUUUGCUUUAAAUUCACUUCCUUUUCCAUUAACUUUUAAGCAACAUUUACUAAACUCCUUUCAUGCUCCUGAUUUUCUGCUGUUUCUGGCCCCAAAAAGGUCAAACAUGAACCCUGCCUUCUGGGAUCUUAGAAUCUAAGUUGGAUAAUACAGAUGGGUAUAAAAGAUGGGACGUACACAUAAAUAACAUGGUUUAAACGUCAGUAAAAUUUGUUUAAAGUGAACAAGUGCAUUAGGUACUCAGCAGCAGAAGUGGAAAGGUUCAUAUUUGGAAACAGGAUCUUGGGGAGAAGUCCACUUCGGCAGCUACCUGAGUGAAGACGGGGAGCUGCCUGGGGAAAUGGUGAGAUGGCGCGGGGAAGCCUAGAGUGGACCUGAGGAAGGAUGGAGUAAGUGGGUGAAGCCGUCACUGAGAGUGAACUUGAUUCUGAUCUACAAUAUGAGGACAGAAUUCCUAACCACACUGCUUAGGGAGUUUUGUAAGGUGAGGAAGUGGUGGUGUGAGUACACAUUUGGAGAAACAUAACGAGAAAAUGACCAGGCCUGUGAAGUCUACGGAGGAAGAGAUCCAUUCUGGAGAGAAGGGGAGUGUACCAAGCUCUGCCAGAGGACCCGAUGUAAAGCAUGAAAAUAGCGAGCGAGUCUCCAAAGCCAGCCUCCAGAGCCUGCUUGUCUGCAUUCGUCCCAGACAGGAGUGGGAGAAAGUCCACUCAUACCUGCAAACAGACCAUUGGCCACACAACCCAUUUUUCUGGGAUGGUAACUUGAACUUCGUUUUUACCUUUAAUCCAACACAUUGACAUAUUCUUGUAACGGGUGAGAGGGGUUUCUACGAGCAGCUGCUGUAACAUAUUCAUAAAAUGUCAUAGGCCGACACUUAGUACGUAGUGAACUAGGAGUGUGUACAUUUCAGGUUUCUUUUGAUAUUUUUGGAGAUGAUUUUCAGUGUUUAAACGAGGACUCCUUUGUAUUAAAAAGACUUGAAAACCGAAACCUCACGGUACGAACCUAACUCCAUGCUUGUGUGUGUGUAAUGGUACACUUGAGAGUUGAUCUUAAGAACACGCAGCAGCAUUGAAAUUUAGGAAAAGAACAUUGAAAUGCCUUUGGAAACACGAAACAAAGUUAGGAACCCGGCGGCCAGCAAGUGAGAAGGAAUGAAUGUCUGAAACUGAGGAACUCUAGUCCAAGUUAGUUUCCCACAGGGUAGAUCCUGAUGCAGGGGGCUUGCUUUUCCAGGUUUUUCUGCUCCGGGGGCCACUUUGAAUUUAAAGGGGGGAAGGGAGAAGGGCCAGAGAGAUGUAAGCGAUUUUGGUCUUGUAGGCCCUGAUUCCGUGCAACCGUUCUGGACAACUUGGAGCCUCAUGCCCACCAGAUUUCAUGCAUUCACAACUUGACCCUCUGAGUUAGGAAUAGUACAGGCUCGAGUUCAAGCCGGACCCCUGCGCUGUUCCUACAGAUGUGGGGAAGGAAGGAGGCGCUAGAGGAUCGGAAGCUCCACCAACGAACUCAGUUGCUCUAAACACCAGAGGGCUCAUUUCAGAAGAGGGGAGUAGACUGAGCUUUGCUCUCCUCCAGAGCAUCGUCCAGGGAGCAUGCAGAUCGGGCUAGCCUUACCCUUACAGGAAAGGUUGCUUAGUAGAGCCGCCCUGGGAUGCCCACUUGUCCCCUCCUACUUUGUCAAGGUCCAUAUUCUCCUGACCCUCCCUGCACUCUCAUUCCGAGAUUAUGAGUGUUAAUGUACGAAAAUACGCAGAGUACAUUGAGGCCACUCGUGGCAUCAGUACUGCAACUUGAACUUGACAAUCAUGGUUUGCUGGUCUCAAACGGGCACUUAAAUUUUGGUAUGGGUCUAUGAUUUAGUAAUUGAAUCCUUCCUUCUCUUUGUCAGUUAUGUUUCUACCCUUCAAUUAGCUGCACUGUUUUCUAAUGUGCUGUAGAGUUUUGGAAAUAAUUUAUGCAAGUGUUUGGUUUCCAUGUUUACAAUUUAUACAGCUUUCCUAGCAUUUUAAAUGGAAAUGUCAAUAAAUGCUACGAAUUGGUGUCAA